GCAAGAAAUUUGAGUGGAUCUGACUCUAGUACGAGAGGACCGAGUUGGACUAACCUCUGGUGUACCAGUUGUCCCGCCCGGGGCAUUGCUGGGUAGCUACGUUGGGAAGGGAUAAGCGCUGAAAGCAUAUAAGCGCGAAACCCACCACAAGAUGAGAUUUCUUUAAAGGGUCGUGGGAGACUACCACGUUGAUAGGUCACAGGUGUAAGUGCGGUAACGUUCGUAGCCGAGUGAUACUAAUAACCCAUAAGCUUAUGUAC
rnacentral:rRNA from 1 species